AGAGAUAGCUCUUAGUGAAUGUGUCAAAUCUGAAAUGCAAGAUCUGAACAUCAUCGGAAUAGUAGCUGAAUCACUUUCUGGACGUUGUGGAGUCCUCUUGCCCUUCCCUAUCACCCCAAAAGUCAAUUGUUCCGAGAUAAACGCUACAAAUACCAGGGGUAUGAAUCAAGAUACAAAUUGAGCCUUGGAGUGAUCAGAUCUCGAGGACUUGAAUCAGAAAAAUGGAAUUUUUUCAAUCUUCUAAACCUUUUCUUUUUGAAAAAAUAACAUGUAAUAUUAUUACAAAUAGAGUUUACUAUAUCCCUUGAUUUGUCUAGGACAUAUAAUUCCAAGGCAAUCAUUCUCAAAAUAGAAAUUAAAUGAGGAGGAUCCUAACAUACUGUAUUGAGCUUCCAAAAACAUGAAAUAUUUGGCUAGGAAAACUAUGUAUUCCUUCAUUGGAACUGUGUAUUUCUUGUAAAAUAUCCAAUAACUUUUGUGUGUUUGGCUAUUUGAAAUUUUUAUUUUCAGAA